UACGAAGGGGGGCUAGCGUUGCUCGGAAUCACUGGGCGUAAAGGGUGCGUAGGCGGGUCUUUUAAGUCAGGGGUGAAAUCCUGGAGCUCAACUCCAGAACUGCCUUUGAUACUGAAGAUCUUGAGUUCGGGAGAGGUGAGUGGAACUGCGAGUGUAGAGGUGAAAUUCGUAGAUAUUCGCAAGAACACCAGUGGCGAGGGCGGCUCACUGGCCCGAUACUGACGCUGAGGCACGAAAGCGUGGGGAGCAAACAGG
rnacentral:rRNA from 1 species